CAACCCAAAAACUCUCUGAUAUUACAGGAAGCUGACCCAGAUGCGCUGCCAAGAAGAACGGAAGUGAGCAGUAUGGGAACAACAACUCCAUGGAAGCAGCUUCUGCUACGUGCAUUAGAGUCCAAUUCCCACCUCAAGCACUCUUCCUUCUUUCAAUUUGCAACAGUUGGAUCUGAUGGGAGACCUUCCAAUCGCACUGUAGUUUUCAGAGGAUUUGCAGAGAACAGCGAUAAGAUCCAAAUCAACACAGAUUCUAGAACUCGUAAGAUUGAAGAACUUAAGCAAUGUCCAUUUGCUGAGAUAUGUUGGUAUUUUACUGACUCUUGGGAGCAAUUCCGGAUCAAUGGAAAAGUAGACAUUAUUGAUGGGUUGAAUCCUGAUCCUGCAAAGCAUGAGAUAAGAGAAAAAUCAUGGUACGCCAGUUCUUUAAAGUCAAGGAUGCAAUACCUGGGUCCUAAUCCUGGACUUCCUUGUCUAAAUGAGCAACCUUCCCAUGAUUUCUUUCUGGAUCCUUCUUCAGGCCCAGUUGCCACAUUUUGUCUGCUACUUUUAGAUCCAGAGCAGGUUGAUUACCUGAAUCUGAAGAGUAACCAGAGGAUAAUGUUUACCUUAAUGAGAAAUGUCAACGGAGAACAUUACUGGAAUUCAGAGAGGACCAAUCCAUAAAGUCUGCAAACAGAGAUGAAUCAUUACUUCAAAAUCAUUAGUACUUGUUAUUCUCAAAUGAUAAUAAAGAAAUUACCGACGCUCCAUCUGAAUAAAUUUCUCAGAUACCAAAGCAAUAUGGAUGUUUGCGACCCUCUCAUGCAAAGCAUCUUGCCUAAAUGAGUAUCCAUUCCAACUGUUAGAGAGACUGACUACUGAAAGAAAUGAAGGCAUUAAAAAGUUGCAACUUUGCAAGAUUAUGCUCUCUGCGUCUGUGGAUCAGACAAUGCAAAGUUCGAUGCAAUGGAUACAGCCAAUUGGAAAUCUGAAAAUUGAUUUAAGGUACAGGUGAGUCCCUAUUCCCCAUAACAUCUCAACUCUCAAUUUGUUCCUUCUGUUGGUGUUUUUAAAUAUUUAUGGACACAAUUUAUCCAAAUACAGUGGGGUGCUAUCCGCCUUUCAACGAAUCUCAUUUGCUUGUAUAGUUUGGGAUUGGAACCAUGUUAGUUCUUGACUUUCUGAUCUGCUGAAAGAUGGGUGGUUGCAUUGUUCUGAGAUUUUGUUUUUGUUUGUGUUUAUAUUAAUUUAUUGGAUAAGUCUAAUAUAAGCUCAAUAUGGGAAUUUAGGUCCCUUAAUUUGUUAAAAUUAACUGUUUAUUAUUUUUUUAAAAUC